UACGUAGGAUGCAAGCGUUAUCCGGAAUUAUUGGGCGUAAAGAGUGUGUAGGUGGUCUGUUAAGUUAAAUGUUAAAUCUCAGGGCUCAACCCAGAGGCUGCAUUUAAUACUGGCAGACUUGAGGUAUGGAGAGGUAAGCGGAAUUAGUAGUGUAGCAGUGAAAUGCGUAGAUAUUACUAGGAACACCAAUGGCGAAGGCAGCUUACUGGCCAUAUCCUGACACUGAGACACGAAAGCGUGGGGAGCGAACGGG
rnacentral:rRNA from 1 species